rnacentral:rRNA from 1 species
GACGAACCGUGCGAACGUUAUUCGGAAUCACUGGGCGUAAAGGGCGUGUAGGCGGUCCGCUAAGUCUGAUGUGAAAGCCCGGGGCUCACCCCCGGAAGGGCAUUGGAAACUGGCGGACUCGAGUCCCGGAGAGGAAGGUGGAAUUCCUGGUGUAGCGGUGAAAUGCGUAGAUAUCAGGAGGAAUACCGGUGGCGAAGGCGGCCUUCUGGACGGUGACUGACGCUGAGACGCGAAAGCGUGGGGAGCAAACAGG